GAGGGAGACUCGGAAUUAGCAAACCGUCAAGAAAUUCUAAAAGCAGCAGAGUUAAACAAAUGCCAGGAAGCACUGAAACAAAGAGAACUACAAAAAAUGAAUGAA